GACGAACGCUGGCGGCGUGCCUAAUACAUGCAAGUAGAACGCAGUUGCGAACGGGUGAGUAACGCGUAGGUAACUGCCUCAUAGCGGGGGAUAACUAGUGGAAACGAUAGCUAAUACCGCAUACUGUGAGAUGGACCGGCUUUGUAUUAGGUAGUUGGGGAGGUAAAGGCUCACCAAGGCGACGAUACAUAGCCGACCUGAGAGGUGUAUCCGCCAAACGUGGACUGAGCAACGGCCCAGACUCCUACGGGAUGCAGCAGUAGGGAAUCUUCGGCAAUGGACGGAAGGCUGACCGAGCAACGCCGCGUGAGUGAAGAAGUUUUUCGGAUCGGAAAGCUCUGUUGUUAGAGAAGCGGUAACUACCCAGAAAGGGACGGCUAACUACGUGCCAGCAGCCGCGGUAAUAC
rnacentral:rRNA from 1 species